rnacentral:rRNA from 1 species
UGCCAGUAAGUCAUAUGCUUGUCUCAUUACAUGGAUAACCGUGGAAAAUCCAGAGCUAAUACACGCCGUGCACAUAUUAGGUUCCGACUCUGAGUAUUUAGCGAAGCGUACGCUGGGUCAUUCGAGCAUCUGCCCUAUCAACUAGACGGUAGGAUCUUUGCCUACGGUGGUGGUGACGGGUAACGGGGAAUAAGGGUUCGGUUCCGGAGAGGGAGCCUGAGAGACGGCUACCACAUCCAAGGAAGGCAGCAGGCGCGCAAAUUGCACACUGGGAACGCCCCGAUGCAGUAGCAGGCGUACCGAUGCGUUUACGCAAUCGGAUAAACACGCGUACAGGCCCGAAUGUAGCAGUGGAGGGCAAGUCUGGUGCCAGCAGCCGCGGUAACUCCAGCUCCACUAGCGUAUGUUAAAGUUGUUGCAGUUAAAACGCUCGUAGCGGGGGGAGCGCUUAUAGCUAUUACUUUGAGAAAAUUAGAGUGUUCAAAGCAGGCCUUGGCUCGGAUACGUUAGCAUGGAAUAAUGGAACACGACGGCGUCCAUGGACGUUGUAAUGACCAAGAGGGGCGGAAGAGGCGGUGCGUAUUGGGCGGCUAGGGGUGAAAUCCGACGACCCGCCCACGACGAGCGAGUGCGAAGGCACGCCGCAGAGACGUGCCCGUUCGUCAAGAACGAAAGCUAGGGAAUCGAAAAUGAUCAGAUACCAUUGUAGUCUUAGCCGUAAACGAUGUGGAGACACGGGGUGCGAUUGUGCUUCGUGGGGGGAAACUUAGUUCGUUCUGGGGGGAGUAUGCUCACAAGGGUGAAACUUAAAGAAAUUGGCGGAAGACUACCUUAAGCAAUGGAGCCUGCGGCUUAAUUUGACUCAACACGGGGAAACUCACCAGGUCCAGACGUAAUAAGGAUUGACAAGCUGGAGACUUUUCUUGAUCUUACGGGUGGUGGUGCAUGGCCGUUUUUAGUCCUUGGAGUGAUUUGUCUGCUUAAUUGCGAUAACGGACGAGACCUUGGCCUCUAACUAGGAGAGCGUAUUUGUACGCGGACUGCUUAGAGGGACGACAGACGUAAGUUUGUGGAGGCGCGAGGCAACAACAGGUCUGUGAUGCCCUUAGACGUUCUGGGCCGCACGCGCGCUACACUGACGGGGGGAGCGAGGGCCGGGCUGAGAAGCCAGGGCAAUCAGGAAACCGCGUCGUGCUGGGGAUAGGGGAUUGGAAUUGUUUCCCUUGAACGUGGAAUUGCUUGUAAGCGCAGGUCAUCAGCCUGCGUUGAAUACGACCCUGGUCUUUGUACACACCGCCCGUCGCUACUACCGAUUGAAUGGCUUAGUGAGAGGUCGGGAGGCCGGCGGAGGGAACUCCGCGGGGCGAACUUGUUCUAACUUGGGUAUUUAGAGGUCGUAAAAGUCGUAACAAGGUUUCCGUAGGUGAACCU